UAAUUCUGCAACUCAUAUUUGUUAAGCGCAAACGUAAACCUGCCAAAUUUAAAUAAAUAUGAAAAUAACUCUUCAAAAUCGCUAGAUUUAACUAAUCAAACCUAUCUCCCCAUCAUGUUUUUAAUAAUUAUAGAUUGUAUUUAUUCUGAAAAAUAAUAUUAUAGUAACACAUUUUAUGGAAUUUAUAAAAAAAGUAGCAAAGACGGAGCAGAAAAAAUAUGAAAUUUCUUAACAAUAAAGUAUUGUUGCUGACAUGGUUUUACUAGCAAUAUAAAAUAGCAAUGAUUCAGUUACUUUCCCCCCAAAGCUAGAUUGCCAGCACUGAGGCGACCGUAUUUCAUUGGGAAAUUCGCUCUCCGCUUCACAGUCGACAGCUGCUGAUUAACACAAAACGACAACAGAACGGCGGAGACAUGACGACAACGGCAAUAACAACAAAUAACCACCGAAACAGCAAACACAGAUAUGUCAGGCGAGUCACCAAUAGACCGGACUCGUCUACUCACAAACACCCAGUUGGUCUCGAAGUACAUGGUCAGCUCCCGAUGCACUUGGUCCGCGGGUUUGGGGGUCUCCACAUGCUCCAAACUCACUCACGCGACUAUCUAAUCUCGCGGCGAACUACGCUUACUGGGCGUGCACGGUGAAAAAAUUGUGAAAACUUAAGUUUUAAAAAUCAAAAACAAAAGUCUCAAAAUAA